GUGGGGAAGAGCACGCAGCAGGCGGGGGUGGGAACUGGCAGUCAAGUCUGCUGUCCCGGCUGCCACAGCGUGGAAGAGGAGGCUGGAGAAUCCGUGGAGCUCGGAGCUGCGCAGUUAAACUAUGCCCCAGACUUCCAUCAUCUUCUCCAGCAUACUUGGGCCCAGCUGUAGUGAACAGGUGCAGCCUGUAAUGGGGGAGCAAGGAGGCGGGGCCAGUGGUUCCAGGGACCUCAUCUUCCAGGAUGGACGCCUCAUCUCCGGGUCCCUGGAGGCCUUGAUGGAGCACCUUGUCCCCACAGUGGAUUAUUACCCUGAUGGAACGUACAUCUUCACAUUUCUCUUGAGCUCCCGGGUGUUCAUACCCCCUCAUGACCUGCUGGUCCGUGUGGGGCAGAUCUACCUGGAGCAGAGGCAGCAGCUGGAGGCUGGGUCUGAGAAGGCCAUAUUGAAGACCUUCUCAGCCAAGAUCAUGCAGCUGCUAAAGGAGUGGACAGAGGCCUUCCCCUGUGACUUCCAGGAUGAGAAGGCCAUGGCUGAACUGAAGGCCAUCACCCACUGGGUCAUGCAGUGUGAUGAGGAGAGUGGCACAGUGAAGAAGGCCAUUGCCCAAAUGACACAGAACCUGCUGUUAUCCCUGGCUGCCCGGAGCCAGCUUCAGGAGCUUCGAGAGAGGCUCUGCUCACCAACUGUAGACAAAGGGCCCAUCAUGAAGGCCAAGCCACCGACCACUCAGAAGGAUAUCCUGGGCGUGUGCUGUGACCCCAUGGUGCUGGCGCAGCAGCUGACUCAUAUUGAGCUGGAGAGAGUCAGCAGCAUUCACCCCCAGGACCUGAUGAAGAUCAUCAGCCAUGUGGACACUCCAGACAAGCACAGGUGCCAAGGGGACCUGACCAAGACCUACAGCCUGGAGGCCUAUGACAACUGGUUCAAUUGCCUCAGCCUACUAGUGGCCACUGAGGUGUGCCGGGUAGUGAAGAAGAAGCACCGGACCCGCAUGCUGGAGUUCUUCAUCGAUGUAGCCCGGGAGUGCUUCAACAUUGGAAACUUCAACUCUAUGAUGGCCAUCAUCUCUGGCAUGAACCUCAGUCCUGUGGCUCGGCUGAAGAAAACAUGGUCCAAAGUUAAGAUGGCCAAGUUUGAUGUCUUAGAGCACCACAUGGAUCCAUCCAGCAACUUCUGCAACUACCGCACAGCCCUCCAGGGGGCCACACAGAGGUCUCAGACAGCCAACAGCAGCCAAGAGAAGAUUGUUAUUCCUGUGUUCAAUCUUUUUGUUAAGGACAUCUACUUCCUGCACAAAAUCCAUACUAACCACCUGCCCAAUGGGCACAUUAACUUCAAGAAAUUUUGGGAGAUCUCCAGACAGAUCCAUGAGUUUAUGACAUGGACACAAGUAAAGUGUCCCUUUGAAAAGGACAAGAAGAUUCAGAGUUAUCUGCUUACAGCGCCCAUCUACAGCGAGGAAGCACUGUUCAUCGCCUCCUUUGAAAGUGAAGGUCCUGAAAACCACAUGGAAAAGGACAGCUGGAAGACCCUAAGGGCUACUCUCCUUAACAGAGCCUGAAGGUGUGGAUGCAGCCUGCAGACACAGGAUGAAGCACACCUGGGAACCAAGCUUUAAUCUUGAUAAUGGGUUGAGAUGAGGUGGCCUCACUGGUUGGGGUCCAUUUGUACAUAACUUUUAUGGGAAAAAAUGGAGGUUUUGUUUGUGAAUAGUUUGGAACUGCUCCCUGGUCUCUCUUCAUAUGCCUGGCUUCUGUAGGAGCCUGCAGUUGGAAGCCUGUCACUUGCUAAUUCCCACAGCUCCUAGGAGAGCCUAGAGAUGUGGAGCAAGGCCUCAGGAAGGAAGUGGCUGCUGAUGUCACCUUUAGCUCUGGGUGGAGCAAGAAUAUUUACACUGUAUUGUCACAGUGUUUUUGCACUUUUUAGAUGUUUUAGAUAGUACAUGUUGUAUAUUGAUAGUACAUAUUGUUUUGCUUAUGUAUUUGAGAUAAAGACUUGAAACUCAAGAGUAUAUAUUUGGAAUAUAACAUUAGAACAUUUUCUGUACAUGUGUUAUGGAGCUUUCCUAUCACAUACACAUCACUGGAGCCUUAGUUCUAAUGCCCACUGGCACAUCAUCUGUGUUUACCACUUUAUUUUCCCAGUUGGAUACAUUUCCUAACUAUGCUGUUUUGGUAUUGUGAGAUGAACU